CCUACGGGUGGCAGCAGUGAGGAAUAUUGGUCAAUGGGCGGAAGCCUGAACCAGCCAAGCAGCGUGCAGGAUGACGGCCCUACGGGUUGUAAACUGCUUUUAUCCGGGAAUAACGCGCCUUACGUGUAGGGCUUUGCAUGUACCUUAUGAUUAAGGACCGGUUAAUUCCGUGCCAGCAGCCGCGGUAAUACGGAGGGUCCGGGCGUUAUCCGGAUUUAUUGGGUUUAAAGGUGGCGUAGGCCGCAUGUCAAGCGUGCUGUGAAAUGUCCGGGCUCAACCCGGGCCUUGCAGCGCGUACUGGCGUGCUUGAGUGCGCAGAAAGCAGGCGGAAUGCGUGGUGUAGCGGUGAAAUGCUUAGAUAUGACGAAGAACCCCGAUUGCGAAGGCAGCUUGCUGCAGCGGAACUGACGCUGAUGCUCGAAAGCGCGGGUAUCGAACAGGAUUAGAUACCCCGGUAGUC
rnacentral:rRNA from 1 species